GCUGCACGGACGCACAGAUUCCCUCAAGCAACAGUGACGCAGAUGCCCAUGACUGCGCUCCCGGGGAAUCCUCAGCAACAACAGGGUUGAAAAGGUGAGCCGUGAUGCAUCUUCAGUCAGGUUCUGAUUUUCAUCUCUCCACCAUCCCUCACCAGCUGUACAUAUAAAAUUUCUGAUGUUUCCGUGGACUCUAUCAGGCCGACUUUGACUCUCCUGUCAUCCGUCAAGCCUUUCCUCAGACAGGUCCUUUCAUCCAGAGUGCCUCCUUCCUCCAUCUGUCUGUCUGGAGCAGACAGGCUGUUGGUCUUCUGAGCUUC